UGAGAGGGGUCUACUAUCCUCAUGAGCAUAGAUGUAUGCCAUGUAAUAUAUUUAAACUGAUAUAGUUAAUACUGUGAAUGUCACGAGUAGAUAUCAAUUGUAUUCAGGCUAAAAGUACUAGAUUGCUGUGAAAACAUCCUUAAGCUCUUGAGAAAAACUAAGGAUUUGUUCUUAAUUUUGAAAAAAGAUCAAAGCUAGGAGUGGGAGGAUACAUCAAUUCAAAUUUUAUAUCUGUCAUUGAUGGUAGAAUGUCUACAUCAUAAGUGUAAUCAUGUCGAUAUCUUGGAAGAGUUUCAAGCAAUCGAUCGAUGGAAGCUGAGUAUACUGUAGAUGUGUAGGAUGCAUUCUGGUUCAAAUAUUAGUUGCAGAACUAGAUGUCAUGCCAUCAGAUAUCAUGACACUAUACUGUAAAGACAAUGGCACCAUAGCUCUUGCUAAGGAGUCUAGAUCUCACCAGAUAUCCAAGCACAUAGAGUAGUAGAACACACGACUACCUCAAGUAGAAUACAUAGAGGUGCAGAGAGCAAACUCCA
rnacentral:lncRNA from 1 species